rnacentral:rRNA from 1 species
UACGAAGGUGGCAAGCGUUGUUCGGAUUUACUGGGCGUACAGGGAGCGUAGGCGGUUGGAUAAGCCCUCCGUGAAAUCUCCAGGCUUAACCUGGAAAGUGCAGAGGGGACUGUUCAGCUAGAGGAUGGGAGAGGAGCGCGGAAUUCCCGGUGUAGCGGUGAAAUGCGUAGAGAUCGGGAGGAAGGCCGGUGGCGAAGGCGGCGCUCUGGAACAUUUCUGACGCUGAGGAGCGAAAGCGUGGGGAGCGAACAGG